AGCGCAGGCGGUCUUUUAAGUCUAAUGUGAAAGCCUUCGGCUCAACCGAAGAAGUGCAUUGGAAACUGGGAGACUUGAGUGCAGAAGAGGACAGUGGAACUCCAUGUGUAGCGGUGAAAUGCGUAGAUAUAUGGAAGAACACCAGUGGCGAAGGCGGCUGUCUGGUCUGCAACUGACGCUGAGGCUCGAAAGCAUGGGUAGCGAGCA
rnacentral:rRNA from 1 species